GACGAACGCUGGCGGCGUGCUUAACACAUGCAAGUCGAACGGAAAGGCCCUGCUUUUGUGGGGUGCUCGAGUGGCGAACGGGUGAGUAACACGUGAGUAACCUGCCCUUGACUUUGGGAUAACUUCAGGAAACUGGGGCUAAUACCGGAUAGGAGCUCCUGCUGCAUGGUGGGGGUUGGAAAGUUUCGGCGGUUGGGGAUGGACUCGCGGCUUAUCAGCUUGUUGGUGGGGUAGUGGCUUACCAAGGCUUUGACGGGUAGCCGGCCUGAGAGGGUGACCGGCCACAUUGGGACUGAGAUACGGCCCAGACUCGUACGGGAGGCAACAGUGGAGAAUAUUGCACAAUGAGCGGAAGCCUGAUGCAGCGACGCCGCGUGCGGGAUGACGGCCUUCGGGUUGUAAACCGCUUUCGCAUGUGACGAAGCGUGAGUGACGGUAAUGAGUAAAGAAGCACCGGCUAACUACGUG
rnacentral:rRNA from 1 species